rnacentral:rRNA from 1 species
GACGUAGGGCGCAAGCGUUGUCCGGAUUUAUUGGGCGUAAAGAGCUCGUAGGCGGCUUGUCGCGUCGACUGUGAAAACUCACGGCUCAACCGUGGAACUGCAGUCGAUACGGGCAGGCUAGAGUUCGGUAGGGGAGACUGGAAUUCCUGGUGUAGCGGUGAAAUUCGUAGAUAUCGAGAGGAACACCGGUGGCGAAGGCGGCCAACUGGACGAAUACUGACGCUGAGACUCGAAAGCGUGGGGAGCGAUCCGG